rnacentral:rRNA from 2 species
UCCUUUUGUUUAUUUAUUUAAGGUCUGACCUGCCCAAUGAGGAAUUGAAUGGCCGCAGUAUUUUAACUGUGCUAAGGUAGCAUAAUCAUUUGUCUUUUAAUUGAGGGCUGGAAUGAAGGGUUGGACGAGGUAUUAACUUUCUUUGAUUUAAUGAGGAGAAUUUAAUUUUUGAGUUAAAAAGCUUAAAUUUAUUUGUGGGACGAGAAGACCCUAUAGAUCUUUAUAGUUUUAUAUUUUAAUAAUUUGGUGAUUUAUUUGUUUUAAGUAGAUGAACUAUUUUGUUGGGGUGACUGUAGAAUUUAAAUAACUUCUA